GAGAAGAGGGGCAAGUCAGAUGACCUGCGCCCUUAUAUCUGUUCCCUUGAGCAGGAAUGAUAACAGUACUCGAAAAGGCUCUUGGGGAAUGUAGUUCUUCUUCUCUUCCAGACAGGUACCCGGAACUAAAGCAUUUGCUCUUUAACUCCCAGUACACUGCAUGAUGUUGUGAUGUGGAAUACUGAUAACCAAAAAUCCUAAAACCAUGACACUCACAUACCUCGGGGGGGGGGGGAGGAGCAGGCACGCUCCUUCAUACCCUGCGUAGGACGUCUCCUCACGCCUUACGGGUUCCCCCUUUCCCAUACACAUACCUGGUCCGCCUAUGGAUGGUCCUUGUCUGUCCCUGCAGUGAUCGGGUGAGGAAGGGAGUCCUUCCAAGAAAUCUUGGGGCGUGCCAAAGGUGUCCCCUGUCUCAGCCGGUCCUGCAGCGGAACAGAGUGGGUCCCAUCUGGGGUGCCAAAUUGACGUGCGGAAAUCAGACCCUAUAGCCAGGAAGGAUAUAGAGCAGGUAUGUGUCUAUUGGUGACGCGCGUACACCCUGGUGCAAGGGGGAUCGUUCCACCUAACUUGCACACUGUCCGAAGAAGUCGUGCUAUAGAUAUAGGUCGAACUAAUACAUAAUCAAUAGUUGACAGGAAUUUGGAUACAUGUUCAUUACAUUCCCAAGAGCCCAUUAGCAUGCAGUCCCUCCCCCCCUUGGGCGUGUGUAGUAGGUCGGGAUGAUGAAGGCUCGUAGUCUUCCUCGCAAAGGCUCGUAGUCUUCCUUGCUGCAAACUUCUGACCCCGAAGGGGGGGCAUCCCCUGAACCAAUUUCAGUUUGCACUUCAGACAUCUAAUCACCUCCCUGCCAAAUGUUUUUGAGCUGCUCUCCAGUCCUUAUCCUUAUGGCCUUCAUCCUCCUUGUUAUUCCAGACCUAGCGCCUGUGAAAGUGCUUGGAAUCCCUUGUUUCCUAAAACUCUCUACAUAAACAAUCUCUAUGUGCCCCUUAUGUCUACCUUGUGAAGCUGCUUUCUCUUUUCUUGCUACAAAGCCCUUCUUUCUAUACUGCAGGGACCUGAUUUUGCCCUUCAAUUCCCCCCUUUUCUAUAAUCUAGCAGGACAUCUACCUGCUAGAUUCUCUAAUCUGUUCUAUGUGUCCCAAAAGAGGUCCCACUUUCCACCUUUUGCCUUAGCCCAUGUUUCUUCCAUAUCUCGU
ensembl:lncRNA